GGGUUGUGAGGUUAAGCGACUAAGCGUACACGGUGGAUGCCCUGGCAGUCAGAGGCGAUGAAGGACGUGCUAAUCUGCGAUAAGCGUCGGUAAGGUGAUAUGAACCGUUAUAACCGGCGAUUUCCGAAUGGGGAAACCCAGUGUGUUUCGACACACUAUCAUUAACUGAAUCCAUAGGUUAAUGAGGCGAACCGGGGGAACUGAAACAUCUAAGUACCCCGAGGAAAAGAAAUCAACCGAGAUUCCCCCAGUAGCGGCGAGCGAACGGGGAGGAGCCCAGAGCCUGAAUCAGUGUGUGUGUUAGUGGAAGCGUCUGGAAAGGCGCGCGAUACAGGGUGACAGCCCCGUACACAAAAAUGCACAUGCUGUGAGCUCGAUGAGUAGGGCGGGACACGUGGUAUCCUGUCUGAAUAUGGGGGGACCAUCCUCCAAGGCUAAAUACUCCUGACUGACCGAUAGUGAACCAGUACCGUGAGGGAAAGGCGAAAAGAACCCCGGCGAGGGGAGUGAAAAAGAACCUGAAACCGUGUACGUACAAGCAGUGGGAGCACGCUUAGGCGUGUGACUGCGUACCUUUUGUAUAAUGGGUCAGCGACUUAUAUUCUGUAGCAAGGUUAACCGAAUAGGGGAGCCGAAGGGAAACCGAGUCUUAACUGGGCGUUAAGUUGCAGGGUAUAGACCCGAAACCCGGUGAUCUAGCCAUGGGCAGGUUGAAGGUUGGGUAACACUAACUGGAGGACCGAACCGACUAAUGUUGAAAAAUUAGCGGAUGACUUGUGGCUGGGGGUGAAAGGCCAAUCAAACCGGGAGAUAGCUGGUUCUCCCCGAAAGCUAUUUAGGUAGCGCCUCGUGAAUUCAUCUCCGGGGGUAGAGCACUGUUUCGGCAAGGGGGUCAUCCCGACUUACCAACCCGAUGCAAACUGCGAAUACCGGAGAAUGUUAUCACGGGAGACACACGGCGGGUGCUAACGUCCGUCGUGAAGAGGGAAACAACCCAGACCGCCAGCUAAGGUCCCAAAGUCAUGGUUAAGUGGGAAACGAUGUGGGAAGGCCCAGACAGCCAGGAUGUUGGCUUAGAAGCAGCCAUCAUUUAAAGAAAGCGUAAUAGCUCACUGGUCGAGUCGGCCUGCGCGGAAGAUGUAACGGGGCUAAACCAUGCACCGAAGCUGCGGCAGCGACGCUUAUGCGUUGUUGGGUAGGGGAGCGUUCUGUAAGCCUGUGAAGGUGUACUGUGAGGUAUGCUGGAGGUAUCAGAAGUGCGAAUGCUGACAUAAGUAACGAUAAAGCGGGUGAAAAGCCCGCUCGCCGGAAGACCAAGGGUUCCUGUCCAACGUUAAUCGGGGCAGGGUGAGUCGACCCCUAAGGCGAGGCCGAAAGGCGUAGUCGAUGGGAAACAGGUUAAUAUUCCUGUACUUGGUGUUACUGCGAAGGGGGGACGGAGAAGGCUAUGUUGGCCGGGCGACGGUUGUCCCGGUUUAAGCGUGUAGGCUGGUUUUCCAGGCAAAUCCGGAAAAUCAAGGCUGAGGCGUGAUGACGAGGCACUACGGUGCUGAAGCAACAAAUGCCCUGCUUCCAGGAAAAGCCUCUAAGCAUCAGGUAACAUCAAAUCGUACCCCAAACCGACACAGGUGGUCAGGUAGAGAAUACCAAGGCGCUUGAGAGAACUCGGGUGAAGGAACUAGGCAAAAUGGUGCCGUAACUUCGGGAGAAGGCACGCUGAUAUGUAGGUGAAGUCCCUCGCGGAUGGAGCUGAAAUCAGUCGAAGAUACCAGCUGGCUGCAACUGUUUAUUAAAAACACAGCACUGUGCAAACACGAAAGUGGACGUAUACGGUGUGACGCCUGCCCGGUGCCGGAAGGUUAAUUGAUGGGGUCAGCGCAAGCGAAGCUCUUGAUCGAAGCCCCGGUAAACGGCGGCCGUAACUAUAACGGUCCUAAGGUAGCGAAAUUCCUUGUCGGGUAAGUUCCGACCUGCACGAAUGGCGUAAUGAUGGCCAGGCUGUCUCCACCCGAGACUCAGUGAAAUUGAACUCGCUGUGAAGAUGCAGUGUACCCGCGGCAAGACGGAAAGACCCCGUGAACCUUUACUAUAGCUUGACACUGAACAUUGAGCCUUGAUGUGUAGGAUAGGUGGGAGGCUUUGAAGUGUGGACGCCAGUCUGCAUGGAGCCGACCUUGAAAUACCACCCUUUAAUGUUUGAUGUUCUAACGUUGACCCGUAAUCCGGGUUGCGGACAGUGUCUGGUGGGUAGUUUGACUGGGGCGGUCUCCUCCUAAAGAGUAACGGAGGAGCACGAAGGUUGGCUAAUCCUGGUCGGACAUCAGGAGGUUAGUGCAAUGGCAUAAGCCAGCUUGACUGCGAGCGUGACGGCGCGAGCAGGUGCGAAAGCAGGUCAUAGUGAUCCGGUGGUUCUGAAUGGAAGGGCCAUCGCUCAACGGAUAAAAGGUACUCCGG
rnacentral:rRNA from 1 species